rnacentral:rRNA from 1 species
AACGAACGCUGGCGGCAUGCCUAACACAUGCCAGUCGAACGAGACCUUCGGGUCUAGUGGUGCACGGGUGCGUAACGCGUGGGAACCUGCCCUUAGGUUCGGAAUAACUCCCCGAAAGGGGUGCUAAUACCGGAUAAUGUCUUCGGACCAAAGAUUUAUCGCCUUUGGAUGGGCCCGCGUUGGAUUAGCUAGUUGGUAGGGUAAAAGCCUACCAAGGCGACGAUCCAUAGCUGGUCUGAGAGGAUGAUCAGCCACACUGGGACUGAGACACGGCCCAGACUCCUACGGGAGGCAGCAGUGGGGAAUAUUGGACAAUGGGCGAAAGCCUGAUCCAGCAAUGCCGCGUGAGUGAUGAAGGCCUUAGGGUUGUAAAGCUCUUUUACCCGGGAUGAUAAUGACAGUACCGGGAGAAUAAGCUCCGGCUAACUCCGUG